CCUACGGGAGGCUGCAGUGAGGAAUAUUGGUCCAUGGGCGUAAGCCUGAACCAGCCAAGUAGCGUGAGGGAUGAAGGUUCUAUGGAUCGUAAACCUCUUUUAUAAGGGAAUAAAGUGUGGGACGUGUCCUAUUUUGUAUGUACCUUAUGAAUAAGGAUCGGCUAACUCCGUGCCAGCAGCCGCGGUAAUACGGAGGAUCCGAGCGUUAUCCGGAUUUAUUGGGUUUAAAGGGUGCGUAGGCGGCCUUUUAAGUCAGCGGUGAAAGUCUGUGGCUCAACCAUAGAAUUGCCGUUGAAACUGGGGGGCUUGAGUAUGUUUGAGGCAGGCGGACUGCGUGGUGUAGCGGUUAAAUGCUGAGAGAUCACGCAGAACCCCGAUUGCGAAGGCAGCCUGCCAAGCCAUGACUGACGCUGAUGCACGAAAGCGUGGGGAUCAAACAGGAUUAGAUACCCCAGUAGUC
rnacentral:rRNA from 1 species